AACUUUCAACAACGGAUCUCUUGGUUCUGGCAUCGAUGAAGAACGCAGCGAAAUGCGAUAAGUAAUGUGAAUUGCAGAAUUCAGUGAAUCAUCGAAUCUUUGAACGCACAUUGCGCCCUCUGGUAUU
rnacentral:rRNA from 1 species